AUUCUUAAGGACCCAUACCAAGACCAGAUGAAAGAGGCUAGUACUGAUGCUAGCCAAAAAGAGAAUUUAGAAAAGGAGAUUAGUACUGAGACUAACCCGAUAGAAGAACCUGAGUCCAAAAUUGUUACCGAUCUAAGUGAUAAAGAGAAGAGAGCGGAUGAGUUACCCAAGAUAUAUUCAUCAAAAAUUUCAUUUCCUUCAUCCCCAGA
rnacentral:lncRNA from 1 species